CUUGACACAUAUGAGAGGUCCAGCCUGCCCAGUGACUAAGUUCAACGGCCGCGGUAUCCUAACCGUGCGAAGGUAGCGUAAUCACUUGUUCUUUAAAUGAGGACUAGUAUGAAUGGCACCACGAGGGUUAUACUGUCUCCUUUUUUUAAUCAAUGAAACUGAUCUCCCCGUGAAGAAGCAGGGAUAAACAUAUAAGACGAGAAGACCCUAUGGAGCUUUAAACAACCAUAGCACUGGCCCACACUUUUAUCCUUCUGAGACAUAAUUAUUAUACAGGCCAAUAUGACUAUUAGUUUUAGGUUGGGGUGACCGCGGAGCAAAAACCAACCUCCACGUUGAACGGAGCUACUCCUGAGCUGAGAGUCACAACUUUAAGCACCAAUAAAUUGACAUCAAUUGACCCAACAUGUUGAUCAACGAAC
rnacentral:rRNA from 1 species